UCUGACCAAAUUUAAGCCAGCACAAUGGGAAUGUGACCUAGAGUGCUGAUUUAAUGACCCUUUUGCUUUUGGGGCUUGACCUGGAGUCUGGAUGCUACAGUGGAAGAGGAUUAGGAGGCUUGGUGCUAAAUAUUACUGCCAAAGACCACUGGAUUAGAGUACCACAGGGACCAGAGUUUGGGUCUUGUGUGUUAUUUUGUAUAAAGACAGCAUGUUUUAAAAGACCGCUGUUUCCACUAGGAAAUGCUAUGGAACAAGACAGAACUGAACUCCAAGUGCUCUCCCAGCACUGCACUGAUCUGGAGGUUUAAUACCGAAGAUGAAUUUGAGUUUAUACCACAUAAUGGCAUCUGGGCUGAAAACUCUGCAUACCCAGAGAAGCAAAUCUUCAGCCUUUAAGAAUGGAUUAAACGAAUAGUGUCCCCCAAAGGGAAGACACAGCCUGUAGAUGGCUGCUUUUGUUAUUGCUGCUCUGGUUUCUUUGAUAACUUCACUGCAUGCCUCGAGAAUCAAGUAGCUUUCACAAAAAACAGCCCCAACACCAUAAACCUCCUUCCACUGGCCAGAGAGCUGGCCACAGUGCAUGGAUUCCGAAUGCGAGAAGUUCAGUUUAGGAGGCACGUACUGGACGCACACAGCACAACCGAGUUUUACAUUUGUGAACAGCUGAAGCAGAGUUAAGGACACAGCUGCUGAGCGCACAGGGACUCCUAUAAGCUGGAAUGCCAAGCCCCUCAGAAAUGUUACAUCAUGAAGCAUGCACAUGAUACAAGCAUUCCUGAAUCCUCUGCUGGAGAGCUCAACCUCUACCUAACUCCUGCCCUGUGACGCAGGUCUUGAGGCUCAACUGGCAGAGAAUAUUUAAAAUGCAUUUUGCUGUAAUCUGACAGAUACGGGAACAUGAAUCACAACGUAUCUUCAUUUUCUUGGUUAGAAGUUGUGCUGUACUGAUGAAUAAUAUCGCGCAAGAAGCAGUGAGUGAUUUGUUGCAUGAUGGGACACUUCAGGAUAUCCACUGGGAUGCAAAGAUGAGAAUGUGAAAGAGAAGUUACAUUCUGCUGGAGAGGUGCUGCAGUUACACCUUUCGCCUACCAGGAGCUGCUGUGGUGCCAGAACAGAGAUAAGCCCUAGGUGCAGAUGGGGAAGAGAAGAGGCUGUGUUUCUCAUGGCGCCCUGCCUGUGUGGCCAGGUAUCUGUAGUUUAACAGCUAUACUGCAAGGGAAUCAGAAGAUCUGAGUUCUAUUCUCAGUCCUGCCAGUGGCCUGCUGGGUGACCUUGGACAAGUCACUCCACCCCUCUGUGCCUCC